UUUUUCUCAUUCCUGUGACCAUAUUUAGAAUGUUAAAAGAUUCAAUUUCAUCUGCUGUGGUUAAUAAUUUUGGUGGAUUUUUAACAUGCUGCCUAAUAGUUCCUGCUAUGCAUGCAUGGUUUUACAAAUAUUGAGUGUGAGCGGAGGAUCUUUGUGUUUAUGUUGAUGUAGCUCCUAACUUCUAUUCUUAGUCCUUGAAUUGCUAUUUUAUCAAUUUCUCCUUAUUUUACAUAUUUUAAUAUUAUGCUUAAAGCAAAUGACAUUUACCUGACAGACUUGCAAGGUAAUGGCAACACAGCAUUUUUUUUAGAAAAUUAGUUACUGCAGUUCAAAUUUUAAAGGUUUCUCUUGACCUGUCUUCUAUAUUUUUCUUGAUGAUGUAUUGAAUUUCACUUUUUGGAUAAAGAUAUCGGUGCAUGUAAUUGGUUAUUUUGUUUCUGGAAACCAGGGUUGUUACUUGCCAGAGCAUGUUAAAAACUAGGUAAUACAGUCCAGGUCAACCUUAUCUAUUCACUUUUUUACUAAUACAUGGCCAUAAGCUCUAUCCCAACCCCAUUUUAUGUUCUACCACCUGAGCUAAGGUUUGAAGAAGCCAUUUUGUUUCUAUUUUGGUUCAUUAACCUUCUCGUGACUGCUGCAAUAACAAUGAUAAUUGUUAUAUCUUCUUGAUGCUUUUAAGCCCAUUUGGCUGGUCCCUUUUAAGUCUUAAUUCUGCACAUGAAGGAUUACGAGCUUCUCAGAAUCAUCCAUCUUGUUGCUCCAUAUUAUGAUUUUGUUGAAUGCCUUUAAGGACUUUAUAGUUGAUAGAGCUUAAUGCUUUUGGGCUACCAGAUGUCCCCUUCUCUGGUCAAUAAAUUCCCUCUCCUACAUGAAUGGAAGAUGAUGAUGUCGGUCCAGAGUGAUGACCAAGUCAUCAUUUACCAUCCAGAGUGAUGAGUAAGUCAUCAUUUACCAUACUUGCAUCGAAUUUACUUUAGCCUGAAGCAUCCGUUUGAGAUACUUGGUUAUUGGUAUUACACUUCAAAGCAUCAAGUUAGUAGAAAUGAAAAUUUUGAAAAAUAGGCAAGUAUUGACACUUAGAAAUAUAUCAAGUCCAAGUAUCAUAGCCACUGAAUACAAUUUGCUGGUUCUUUUUACAGGUUGGGCUUAUCUCUGAUGAAAAAUUGGUGGAUCUU
rnacentral:misc_RNA from 1 species